GCCCGGUGGAGAAGCACAUGGUCCUCGUGCAGUUUACUGUGAACUCUUCAUCUCACUGCACUGAUAAGAGAAUAAGCUGGUCUAAAUCAGUUGGGAGACUUGAGACGAGGUGAACUUAUCUCCUAACCUCCUUCACCACAAAGCAUUUGAUUAAUUGGAGCAGCAUCUUUCCAGUGUCCUUCUUUCCACUAAGGAGUGACUAGCCAAACCCGCAUUGCUCUUUCAGAAGAUCAAAGGGACUGCUGCCCACCUAAUGGCAGGCCAGACAGGAU